AAAAAAAUCACACAUGAAUCAAGGUUGUGACUUCUGUUUUAAUAUAUAAGAUACUAGGACCGGCCCGCCCUACGGACGGGUAAUUAUAAUAAAAACUAUUUUAUUAGGUUUAAUAGUGUUUAUCUUUUUGUUUAAAAACUAAUUUUAAGUUAACACUUAAUAUUUUGACUCAAAAAUAGUUCUUAGGGUUAUGAUAUAAGAUAAUUCUAUUUGUAGUAGUUUUCCAAUGGUGUGGUGAUUUUGUAUUUAGUCGUUUGAUGAUGUUGGGAUUUGUUUAAAAUGAAGAAGUUAUUAUUAGAACAGUCGCAACACUUUUGAGAGUCACAUAUUUAGUUACCAUUAGGAAUUCUAUAAUGUAUGUGAGGAAAUAUUAUUUAUUGAGAAAUGCAAUGUAUAUUUUUUGUGUUGACGAAUAAUUUAAAUACUAUUUGAAAACGUAAACGGACUGGCUAAUAGAGAGACGAUUAAAUAUAAGAACUUGUUGAGUGGGGUUCAUAUGAAUUGUUUUAGCCUAUCUUCUUAAAUUAAAAUUGUAGAAAGUGUGUAUAUUCAGUGGGUUUUUUUUUGCUUACAACUUUAUGCCUUGGAAAAUUAGAAUCUUCACAUACAUAUUGAUGCAUGUAUUACAUUUUCAUAAUAAAAUGUACAAAACUCUGAACCUUUCUAUUAAGUAUCCUAAAUUAUAUUUAUUAUACACAAUUCUUAACGCAAAUUUAAAACUUUAUACCCUUAAUUUUAAACAAAUUCUUAAAUCUUUAAACUACAAACUUAACCAUAAACUUUAUUCUCCAUGAAAUACUUUUAUAAUUUAAAUGUAUAAAUUAUUAAAUUUUAACCUUAGACUUUAUAUUCAAAUGGUUGAUAACAAAUGGCAAGGAUUGUGUCAGAUUUAAUAACAGUCAUUGAUUAAAUUUUAAUCUAACGGUGGAGAAUCAAUCUCAACCUCUCUCUUUUGUCCUUUCUGUGCACCGAGAAACGAUCCAAAAACUUGUUUUCUUCACACUUUUUUCAGAUUUAGAUCUCUAUCUUCUCAUCACACGUUUCUCUUUUCUUCUUUCUCUUCUCUACAUUUCUUCUCUGUCUACUGAUUUGUUUAUUUUUUUCUCUGUUUUAUUUAAUGAAUCUCGUCUUCUUUCUAUCUCAUCUUCUUCAUUGUCUCUGCUGAAGCUUGCUGUGUGCCGUACUCAUUGUCAUCACUCUAGUUCAUCACCUCUCCUUUCAGAAUUCAAGAUUAAAAGGUGUGGAGGAAGAAGUAAAGCUCGACGGUGGUGGGAUUUGAGAUAACCGGGGCUGGAUGGUGGAUGCAACGAUGGCCACGUGGGAAGAACCCUAAAAAUGGAGCAAAGCGCGUUAGAGAUGCUGGAGACUGGGCCGUCCAAGAAUAAAACCCAUAUAAACCGAAGCCCACCUAGACUUAAUGAAACGUGGCGUUUUAAAAUGGUGGGACACGUGUUGCAAGCACAUAACUCGACUUUCUGAUGUGGAAUCCUACGUGGCAUCACCAGGAGGGAGAUAAACAUUUUUUUAUAUAUAUAGAUAGAUAAUGUUUGAAAAACACAUAUAUAAAAAAUACAACAUACACAUACAUCUUGAACACGAGCUUAAUUACAGAAAAUAAGGUAUAUGACUAAACAAAGUCAAUGGCGUAUAUAUGUAGCCACGAUUUCUUUAUCAACGCUGACAAGCAAAUCAGAGACCAGCAACAAGCAUUUUUGUAAAGACCAGCAAUAAGCUAUUCUACGUACUUACUUAAAACCGGUUAGCGA